CUGCUUCCAAUUCUCUCUCUCUCAAUAAUAUCUCCAUAUAUCUUUGAUGAUAUCGCUGGCUUUCGCUCUCUGCCUCCCGACGCCUUUUUCUCAGGACCUCGGAUUCUGCCUCCGUGUCCUUGACGGCCGCUGCUCGCAUGCCAGCUGAAUCUUCAAUUGCUGUAGCUCGGUCGUCCUCUCCCCAAGAGUGAUGAAUAGUUCUU
rnacentral:lncRNA from 1 species